UGAAGACAGAUAUUAUUCUGUUUAGCCUGAUGCAAAAUCAUAUAUGCAAGUGAUUCACUCACAUUAUAGAGGUUUGAAAAUGUUUAUAAUAAUAAUGCAUUGAGGUAAAUCUUCAGUGAGGCAACCAAACCAGCCCAGGACAAUUUAUACUGCACAAUUUAUAUUUGCACUACUUUGGUUACAGUUUGAGGGGUUUCUCUGUCCCAGUCUCUGUUUUGGACCCCUCUGGUUCUAUAUGGGCUGAGCUCCAAGAAGGACUGUGUGAAGCUAAUGGAGUCCAAGUCCAGGUCCUCCCUCUCCAUCCAUCCCAGAGAAAGCCUAAUCCCGUUAGCUGUGCUUUCUCAUGGAUAAUCCCUCCACUUCCCACCUGGCCGUCCUUCAGCCUCAGCCUCUCUCUGGGAUGACCGUCUUCUGCUGAACACUACAGCAUGUUUAGCUGGGUGAUAAAGGUUGUUCCCCAGCCUCCAGCAUCUCCUGGGAAGCUGGCAGGGGAGGACCAGACCAAUGCUUCCACUGCAGCACCUGCGACUGAUGUGACGAAAAAAGAGGAAGCAAAACAAGAAUCUUCCAAGCCAACAGAAGAGGUCUCAGAGGAAAACAGCUCUCAGAGUGGAGUUUUGAGUUGGCUGCCUCAUGGGUUCAGCAGUGCUCUCCCUCAGCCAGUAAACUCCUCUAAACUGGCCAACAGUGAAGUUAAGCAUGAGAGAAAUGCAGUGACCAGCAGUAACACAUUAGACCAGGCUGGAAUGAUAGGCUGGAUUGUGCAGGAACUGGGAAAAGUGGUUCCACAGCCAGAUGAGAAAUACAAGGGUCACACAGAGACGGAGGAGGUCACUGAGGUGCAAGAGGUCAAACACGUUCAUGAUGCUGAGCCACUGCCUCAUAUUCCUGUGGUGGAGGUUGUGCCUAAUGAGGAACCAGACUCUGCUAAUGUGCCUUUCUCUCCCAGGGUAAUAGAAUGGAUUAAGCAUGGUUUUGAGAAAGUAGUUCCUCAGUCUCCUGUCCAUCUUCGUCCUCCCGCUAGCACAGAUGCACCCGCCCAGAAGGUUGCUUCUGCACCUGUGACUCCCUGCAAACAAGAGCCAGGUAACAUUUUAAAAAUCAAGAAUGUUAGGCUUUCUUGGUGA
rnacentral:lncRNA from 12 species